rnacentral:rRNA from 1 species
AGAGUUUGAUCCUGGCUCAGGAUGAACGCUAGCUACAGGCUUAACACGAUGCAAGUCGAGGGGCAGCAUUGGAGUAGCAAUACUCAGAUGGCGACCGGCGCACGGGUGAGUAACACGUAUCCAACCUGCCGCUUACUCGGGGAUAGCCUUUCGAAAGAAAGAUUAAUACCCGAUGGUAUAAAGAGUUCGCAUGUUCUCUUUAUUAAAGAAUUUCGGUAAGCGAUGGGGAUGCGUUCCAUUAGAUAGUUGGCGGGGUAACGGCCCACCAAGUCUACGAUGGAUAGGGGUUCUGAGACGGAAGGUCCCCCACAUUGGAACUGAGACACGGUCCAAACUCCUACGGGAGGCAGCAGUGAGGAAUGUUGGUCAAUGGACGCGAGUCUGAACCAGCCAAAGUAGCGCGAAGGAUGACUGCCCUAUGGGUUGUAAACUUCUUUUAUAAGGGAAUAAAGUGAGGGACGUGUCCCUUUUUGUAUGUACCUUAUGAAUAAGGAUCGGCUAACUCCGUGCCAGCCGCCGC